AAGAUAGAGCCAACUGGAUUUGCUGAUGGAUUAGCUAUGGGGUAUGAAGGAAAAAGAACAGUCAGAGAUGACUUGGAGAGUUAAAUCAUCAUUUAUGAAUACGGGGAAUCCUAUAGGAACAUCAGUCUUUUUUUUUUUAAGUUUUAUUGUAGUUGAUUUACAAUGUUGUGAUAAUUUCUGCUGUAUAACAGAGCGAUUUAGCUCUACAUGUACACAUUCAUUCUUUCCCAGAUUCUUUACCCAUAUAGAUCAUCACAGAACAUUGGGCAGAGUUCCCUGUGCUACAUAGCAGGUCCCCACUGGAGGAGCAUCAGUCUUAGUGGGGAAGGUCAGGAGGUUGGCAUGGGGUGAUGUUGAGUGUGAAACAUCUAUUAAACAUCCAGGGGGAGAUGACCGCACCCAUGGCAUAUGGAAGUUCCCAGGCUAGGGGUCGAAUCAGACCUGCAGCUGCUGGCUUACACCACAGCCAUAGCAAUGCCAGACUGAACUGUGUCUGCGACCUAUACCACAGCUCACGGCAACGCGGGAUCCUUAACCCACUGAGGAAGGCCAGGGAUCAAACCCACAUCCUUGUGGAUACUAGUCGGGUUUGUUACUGCUGAGCUAUGACAACAACUCCCAGCAAGUGUUUAAAGAAAGAAGGGAUCCUCUCUGGGGAUAGCCGUCGUAUCUGCCUCAAAGGGUGGCUGCGAUGAACUUUUUAAAUGGAUGAGAGAAUUCAUUAAAGUGUCUGCUUCAGUACCUGGCUACUGGGUCAUUGAAGGUGGAAGUCAUUGGUGACCUAACAAGAGCAGUUUCAAAAGUCUGGUUGGAGUGGCUUCAAAUGAGGAUGAGAGGAAAGAAUUGGAGACAGCAGAUAGAAUCAACUCUUCUGAAUAUUCCUUUGACAUUGCAUUAGAGAAAUGGGGAGGUAAUUCAUGGGAAUGUGGGGUCAAGAGAAAGGGGUGUGUGUGUGUGUAUGUGUCUGUUUGUCUCUCUUUUUCUUUUAGGUUGGGAGAAAGUACAGUCUUUAUAUUGUUGAUGAGAAUAAUCCCGUAGCAGGGGAGAUUGAUGAUGAAGUUUAGAUUUAUGAUAAUGAGUUGCUUCAGUCAUCAAUAACAGGCUAACGGAAACAACUAGGUUGUCCUAUGUCCCUUAACCCUCUCCUUCAGAUUCUUUCAUUCAUUUAUUCAUUUAUCAAGUGUUUACUGAAGGCUCACAAGAUGCCCAAGAUCAAGCCAGAGGCUGAGUAAAGAAUGGUGAUUAAGGGGUGAAACAAACAGGAGCAAUCUCUACACCACUUUCUGGUGGAGAUAGGCUUUCUAAAAACACACAAAUAAAUAAAAACAGAUUUCAAUGGAUGCUUCAUAGAAAAAGUUGGAGUACUUUUGAGAGAGAGAGAAAGCCUUGGCAUCAUUUAGAUUGGGGGGCAUUAGAAGACUUCUUGGAUGGGAAAGAUGAUCAUGACCGAUAAGAAAUGCAUUGAAGCACAAGGAAGAGAGCUUGCAAAGGCCAGGAGCAGGGGAGAACUUGAUGCUUUGGGGGAUUGGAGAGGUGGCCUGAGACCAGGUCAUGCAAAACUUUGGUUUUAAAGUUUUGGUUUAUAUCCUUAUAGUAAUGGGAAGCUGUGGAAAAGUUUUUAGGUGGAAGUGACAGGAUGUAUUUGCAUUGGAAAAAAAAAAUCUACCUGUAUUACAUUGUGUGAUGGUGAAUGGAUUGGAGGGGGCAAAAGUGGAAGAAAAGAACACAAAUUUAGGCACAAAGAUAGCAUCUGUUGGACUUCCUAUUGUGGCUCAGUGGGUUAAGAACCUGCCAUAGUGUCCAUUAAGAUGUGGGUUUGAUUCCUGACCUUGCUCAGUGGAUUAAGGAUCCAGCAUUGCUGCAGGCUGUGGCAUUGUUUGCAGAUACGGCUUGGAUCCCGCAUCGCCUUGCUGUGGUGUAGGCUGGCAGCUGCAGCUCUGAAUCGACCCCUAGCCUGGGGGCUUCCAUAUGC
rnacentral:lncRNA from 1 species